UACGAAGGGGGCUAGCGUUGCUCGGAAUCACUGGGCGUAAAGCGCACGUAGGCGGCUUGUUAAGUCAGGGGUGAAAUCCUGGAGCUCAACUCCAGAACUGCCUUUGAUACUGGCAAGCUUGGAGUCCGGGAGAGGUGAGUGGAACUGCGAGUGUAGAGGUGAAAUUCGUAGAUAUUCGCAAGAACACCAGUGGCGAAGGCGGCUCGCUGGGACGGUACUGACGCUGAGGCGCGAAAAGCGUGGGGAGCGAACAGG
rnacentral:rRNA from 1 species